CUCUUAAUUUUUUUUCUUUUCGUUCAUUAUCAGUGUCCACCCUUAACAACAUAGUAAAUCUUUUUUUCUGUCUUACAAUUGGAAAUAUUUUAAGGCCGUCUUCUUUCGCAACAUAGGAAACCAUGAAAUAAUUUCACAUGAUUGAAGCUUCACAAAAUGCACACAACAUUCAGAAUAUACCUUGCCAAAUAGUUGCUAGAAAGAACAGAGUGCAUCUAAGCGAACGUUUGCACUCUUCAAAAAUGAAAUCUAACACAGUCUACAUGUAAGUAAAAUAAUAAUGCAUGCUGAUCAUGUUCUGCCCUCACCUACUGCCGUUGUGAGGGACGCGUAGGAUGGUGAAUCACUGGUGCCUAGUGUAGUCAGAGUAGAAGAACAGAGGUGCAUGUUUUUCAGCAGCAUGGAAAGGGCCAAAUCUCUACUCAAACACUAUAAUUUUUCAAACUGAUCCUGAUACUCACCCCUAACAUAAGCGACUUAUAAGAAGUCUUUUCACAACUUAGUAAAAUAAAGAUGAGUUUUAUGUUAUGUAACACGUACCUGUUACUGUUAUAAAAUGCGGGGAACCACCGACGAUGGUGCCAGCCGAUGUGGACGCAGCGUCAGAAUCGAC